rnacentral:lncRNA from 1 species
UUAGGGAGUUUACGAUGUACGACGCGGUCAGCUCGACGACGUCGAGUCAAAUUAUGCUUGAAAUAAGCCACAGGAAUUUAACUAUACUGCUUUAAUUGUCUAAAGCAUGUUUUAAUAAUCUUACAAAUGUUUAAAUUGGCCUAAACUACUCCGAUGUUUAGCUAAUGUUGCCAUUCUGUCAACGUUAUAAAACAGCUUUCAUGUCGCAACGAGCUUUGAUAUCCCUAGGAAGCCGUGAAAAUUACUCGUUUGACGGUGUCCCAAGAAUGUCAACGUUGUUGACAAAAAUUUGAAUCUACAAAUUAUUCAUCCCUUUUGUCUCGCAUGACGUGUUUCUUUGUCUUGCAAGCGCGUCGUCGAGCUGGCCGCGUCGUGAAUCGUAAACUCUCUAUUACCCC